rnacentral:rRNA from 1 species
AGUGAACGCUGGCGGCGUGCCUAAUACAUGCAAGUCGAACGGAGAUUAAAUAGCUUGCUAUUUAAUCUUAGUGGCGCACGGGUGAGUAAUAUAUAGUUAAUCUGCCCCAUAGUGGAGGACAACAGUUAGAAAUGACUGCUAAUACUCCAUACUCCUUCUUAUCAUAAGUUAAGUCGGGAAAGUUUUUCGCUAUGGGAUGAGACUAUAUCGUAUCAGCUAGUUGGUGAAGUAAUGGCUCACCAAGGCUAUGACGCGUAACUGGUCUGAGAGGAUGAUCAGUCACAUUGGAACUGAGACACGGUCCAAACUCCUACGGGAGGCAGCAGUAGGGAAUAUUGCGCAAUGGGGGAAACCCUGACGCAGCAACGCCGCGUGGAGGAUGACACUUUUCGGAGCGUAAACUCCUUUUGUUAGGGAAGAAUAAUGACGGUACCUAACGAAUAAGCACCGGCUAACUCCGUGCCAGCAGCCGCGGUAAUACGGAGGGUGCAAGCGUUACUCGGAAUCACUGGGCGUAAAGGACGCGUAGGCGGAUUAUCAAGUCUCUUGUGAAAUCUAGUGGCUUAACCACUAAACUGCUUGGGAAACUGAUAAUCUAGAGUAAGGGAGAGGCAGAUGGAAUUCUUGGUGUAGGGGUAAAAUCCGUAGAGAUCAAGAAGAAUACUUAUUGCGAAGGCGAUCUGCUAGAACUUAACUGACGCUAAUGCGUGAAAGCGUGGGGAGCAAACAGG